AAAUUGAAGAGUUUGAUCAUGGCUCAGAUUGAACGCUGGCGGCAGGCCUAACACAUGCAAGUCGAGCGGUAGCACAGAGAGCUUGCUCUCGGGUGACGAGCGGCGGACGGGUGAGUAAUGUCUGGGAAACUGCCUGAUG
rnacentral:rRNA from 1 species